rnacentral:lncRNA from 1 species
AACACCGUGGCGACCAAGUAACUCUGUGCACAUACUAAGGUCUCAAAACACAGGCACGGCCCCUGGAGUUCCCAGUACAUCAACAUCAGCCUGGGGAUCAUGUCCUCAUCAAAAGCUGGAAAGAGGAGAAACUCGAACCAGCCUGGGAAGGACCUUACCUGGUGCUCCUAACACUGAAACCACAGUCCAGAUAGCAGAAAGCUGACGGCGAUGCUGCUGUGUGAGGAUGCCCUUUGAG